UACAGAGACUGCAAGCGUUAUUCGGAUUCACUGGGCGUAAAGGGUGCGCAGGCGGUUGGGUGUGUCAGAUGUGAAAUCCCGAGGCUUAACCUCGGAACUGCGUCUGAAACUACUCGACUAGAGUACUGGAGAGGGAAACGGAAUUCACGGUGUAGCAGUGAAAUGCGUAGAUAUCAAGUGGAACACCAGUGGCGAAGGCGAGUCCCUGGACACUUCCUGACACUGAGGCACGAAAGCUAGGGGAGCAAACAGG
rnacentral:rRNA from 1 species